UACAUUGCGUAGCUUGUAGGG
rnacentral:piRNA from 1 species